GACGAACGCUGGCGGCGUGCUUAACACAUGCAAGUCGAACGGAAAGGCCCUGCUUUUGUGGGGUGCUCGAGUGGCGAACGGGUGAGUAACACGUGAGUAACCUGCCCUUGACUUUGGGAUAACUUCAGGAAACUGGGGCUAAUACCGGAUAGGAGCUCCUGCUGCAUGGUGGGGGUUGGAAAGUUUCGGCGGUUGGGGAUGGACUCGCGGCCUAUCAGCUUGUUGGUGGGGUAGUGGCUUACCAAGGCUUUGACGGGUAGCCGGCCUGAGAGGGUGACAGGCCACAUUGGGACUGAGAUACGGCCCAGACUCCUACGGGAGGCAGCAGUGGGGAAUAUUGCACAAUGGGCGGAAGCCUGAUGCAGCAACGCCGCGUGCGGGAUGACGGCCUUCGGGUUGUAAACCGCUUUCGCCUGUGACGAAGCGUGAGUGACGGUAAUGGGUAAAGAAGCACCGGCUAACUACGUG
rnacentral:rRNA from 1 species